rnacentral:rRNA from 1 species
CAGUAGCCGCGGUAAUACGUAGGGUGCAAGCGUUAAUCGGAAUUACUGGGCGUAAAGCGUGCGCAGGCGGUCCGCUAAGACAGAUGUGAAAUCCCCGGGCUUAACCUGGGAACUGCAUUUGUGACUGGCGGGCUAGAGUAUGGCAGAGGGGGGUAGAAUUCCACGUGUAGCAGAGAAAUGCGUAGAGAUGUGGAGGAAUACCGAUGGCGAAGGCAGCCCCCUGGGCCAAUACUGACGCUCAUGCACGAAAGCGUGGGGAGCAAACAGGAUUAGAUACCCGCGUAGUCCCUGUCUCUUAUAA